rnacentral:sRNA from 1 species
GUGUAACGUUAACAUGUCGAGAAUCAUUAAUUUCAUUUUAUGAAAAAUAUGGGUAUCGUAAUGAAGGUGUAUCAGAAUCAUGUCAUGGCGGUAUUAAAUGGUAUAACCUUGUUAAAAAUAUAAAAAAGGAUGAUGAGGUGUAAAUAUGGCAGUUGUUUAUGUAGCAGGAGGAUGUUUAUGGGGUGUUGAAGCAUUUUUUGCAACAAUACCUGGAA